rnacentral:tRNA from 1 species
UCGCCCCUCGGCAAUGGACGUGCGGCCGGGCCUCCGAAGCCCGGUCACCCGGUUCGAUUCCGGGCGGGGGGACCA